rnacentral:rRNA from 1 species
AGUCAUAUGCUUAUCCCAAAGAUUAAGCCAUGCAUGUGUAAGAAUAAACCGAAUAUGGCAAAUCCGCGAAUGGCUCAUUAUUCAGCCAUACUUUAUUGGAUCUAAACAGUUACUUGGAUAACUGUUCAAAAUGAAGAGCUAAGACAUGCCUCGAAGACCAAGGGUAACCUUGGUUGCACUUCUUAGAUAAAGACCAAUUGGCCUCGGCCAUCUAUUGGUGAAUCUUCAGAAUUUAGCAGAUCGCACGGUCUCGUACCGGCGACAUAUCCUUCAAGUGUCUGCCUUAUCAACUGUCGAUGGUAGUUUAUUGGACUACCAUGGUUGUAACGGGUAACGGGGAAUUUGGGUUCGAUUCCGGAGAGGGAGCCUGAGAUACGGCUACCACAUCCAAGGAAGGCAGCAGGCGCGCAAAUUACCCACUCUCAGUGCGAGGAGGUAGUGACGAAAAAUAACGAGACAGUCUUCUAUGAGGUCUGUCAUCGGAAUGGGUACAAUUUAAACCCUUUAACGAGGAUCUAUUGGAGGGCAAGUCUGGUGCCAGCAGCCGCGGUAAUUCCAGCUCCAAAAGCGUAUACUAAAGUUGUUGCGGUUAAAAAGCUCGUAGUUGGAUCUUUGACCAUCAAGAGCGGUAGCCCUUUGGGUUUAACUGCUUCUUGUGGUCUCCUUGCUGGUCUUUCCUUGGUGCUCUUAACUGAGUGCCUUGGUUGGCUAGUGCUUUUACUUUGAAAAAAUUAGAGUGCUCAAAGCAGGCGUUUGCCUGAAUAGUGGUGCAUGGAAUAUGGGAAUAGGACCUCGGUUCUAUUUUGUUGGUUUUCGGAGCUCGAGGUAUGAUUUAAGAGGGACAAAACGGGGGCAUUC